UUUUCUCCCUCGGCCCGGGGAGGAGCGGGACAACUCCGAGCUCGAGGGAGCGAGCCAGACCCUGGGCGCGGGUGUAAAUCAGUCACCUGAGCGCCGAGGGGCCUUGGCGAGAGUGCACGAGCGUGGGCGGGUGGGGAGUGGCGCGGGCAGCGAGCACUGCCAGGACAGGCAGGGAGGGAGCAGUCUUAGUGGAGAGCUGAGGCGGCCCAGGGGCGCGGCCGCUAAGAGGAGACCAAGAGGUAGGGGCUGCACUUGAGGACCAGCGUGCUGAGAUGAACUCAACAAAAAUCCAGUGGAAGGCUUUUCAGCAGGUUUAAUAGACGACAAUGAUCUCUAUUGUUGGGAAGUCCUUAUUAUUGGUCCUCCAGAUACACUUUAUUGAUAAAAAUGGUGAUGUUUUGCAUUUCUAUUCUUCAUGAGCCUGGGGAGGAUAAAUAUGGUUAUGAGAAGCCAGAGGAACGCUGUUUACCUAUCCAUACUGUGGAAACCAUCAUUAUUAGUGUCAUUUCUAUGCUGGCAGAUCCUAGUGGAGACUCACCUGCAAAUGUAGAUGCUGCGGUAAGG